GCCUCGGUGGUGGAACUGGCAGACACAGCGGACUUAAAAUCCGCCGCUUGCUGAAAGGCGGCGUACGGGUUCGACCCCCGUCCGAGGCACCA
rnacentral:tRNA from 1 species